CCCUUCGUGGCGUAAGGGUAACGCGCCCUAUCUAGAGAAGAGGGAGUCGUGAGUUCGAUUCUCACCGAGAAGA
rnacentral:tRNA from 1 species